GUGAGGCCAGCAAAAGAACCUCCCAGCUGACAGAAUGAUAAGCAAUAACAAAUCAUUGUUUUAAGUCCCAAAGCUUUGGGGUCAUUUGUUAUGCAGCAGUAGCUAACUGAAAUAUCUGCCUCCUUAUCACUUCGGUGUUUCAGUAUUUGUGGUCUGAAAUCAUUCAUUUGGGCACUUGACUAAGAUUAUGCCUCAUGGUAAAUUCUGAUUCGUAAUUUUAUAGGUAAAAUACACAUUUUCUUAUUGACCUUUGCUUCACUGAAAAGAGAUUUAUUUAGCUCCUCCCAAAUGAGACAGAUCGUGAUUUCUAGAUUAACUCCUUUCAUGAAAGGGCUCAUCUCUGCCUAGCACAUCCUCAGUGUCCCAUGUACGAAAGUAAAACGUUCAUGUUGUUCCCAGAAGGUCCAGGGCACUUAGAACAGUGCUGGCACAUAGAGAGUGCUCCUCUUCCUCGUCCAUCAACUGACCUGCUCUGUGUCCAUUUCUGCAACACUGGCACUCCUUCAGCACGGAUGAUGCACCGCCCUGCAGUGAGACAUCAUCUCCCAUGCGUGCACGUAUCUCCAACUCCCCUGAAAGCUCUCUCCUUCAGGAGAGGAACCAAACUACCUACAAAAUGCCCUUCAUGUACUAGGUGUUCUAUAAAUAUUUUUGUUUAAUCGGUUUCUAGAGAUCCGGAGACUCUGGUUUUGGUUUUGCUAGGCACCAGUUGGCUGCUCUGAAGCCGUCACCCAUGUUGACCUGAUCGUGGGUGCUCACAUUGAAGCAGAGGUCACAUCCCGCAGCGGGACCGAGCCUGAGGCGCCAGGCGGAGGCUGCGCAUGUGUGAGCGCCUCUGAGGAAGCUGCGAGAAGCCUGGCGGGUGUUGCUCCGGGGGCAGCCCAGGCUCGCGCGCAGGAGAAGAAGGUUCGGGAGGCGCGUGUCCUGCAGUGCAGCCGGAGCCCCUCACUGACUUCGCUGCUGCGACCCCCGCGGCUCUCCCGCAACCGCACCGGAGUCGGCUGUGCACCCAGCCUUCCCUCACCGCAGCUCCCGGAACCGCAGCGCCACAGCCGCCGCUGAGCCUCUAGGGGGCGCUGCUCCCCCGGCUGCUGUGAGCGCCUCCGGGACCGUGACUAUGGCCCUGGCCGGCGGGGCAGCCAGUGCGGGUAGAGAGCACUCCGGUGGCCCUGGGUGCCAUGACUAAGGUUCCUGUCAGCGUCUGCAUGGAGCCCAUGGCGUCCCAGCCCCUGUGGUCCCCCGUGGGGACCCUGGUGACCAAAGUGGCUCCUGUCAGCGCCUCUCCUAAACUCAGCAGCGGCCCUAGGCUGCCUGCUCCUCAGAUGGUCGCUGUGAAAGCCCCCAACACCACGACAAUCCAGUUUCCUGCUAAUUUGCAGCUUCCUCCAGGAACCGUUUUGAUCAAAAGUAACAGUAGUCAGUUGAUGUUGGUAUAUCCUCAGCAAGCAAGAGCCGAGACCACAAGUAACAUAACUUCAAGGCCAGCAGUACCAGCCAGUCCUCAAACAGUCACAAUCUGUAUAGUGCCUUCUGUGGCUGUGCCUACCAGUGUUGUCACAGUAACUCCUGAAAAGCCACUGAUUACUGUAGCUACCCUGAAGUUUGGGAGCAUCAUCCACCCCCUCAAAUGAGCCCAAUUUUAAAGCAGAGAACUCAGCAGCUGUUCAGAUUAAUCUUUCUCUGACAAUGCUAGAAAAUGUGAAGAAAUGCAAGAACUUCCUUGCAAUGUUCAUAAAACUAGCAUGUGGUGGAUCACAGUCCCCAGAAAUGCAGCAAAAUAUGAAGAAACUGGUGGAACAACUUUUGGAUGCAAAAAUCGAAGCAGAAUUUCCUAGGAAACUGUAUGUUGAACUCAAGUCUUCACCUCAGCCUCACCUGGUUCCUUUUCUUAAGAAGAGUGUGGUUGCUUAGACAAUUUCUGCCUAGCUCCCAGAGCUUCAUCCAGCAAUGUGUUCAGCAGACUUCUAGUGAGGGAGUCACUGCUACCUGUACUACAACAGUAACAACUUCUCCUGUGGUGACAACAGUGUCCUCAAGCCAGUCUGAAAAGUCCAUUAUUGUUUUUGGAGCAACAGCACCCAGAACUGUGUCAGUGCAAACUCUGAACCCACUUGGUGGUCCAGGGAGAGCAAAAGCUUGAGUUGUGACACUUCAUUCUGUGGGCCCAGCUGCUGCAACAGGAGGAACAAUAGCUGGAACUGUUUUGCUUCAGACUUCAAAACCACUUGUGACAUCUGUACCAAACACAGUGACAACAGUCUCACUGCAACCUGAAAAGCCAGUUGUCUCUGGAACAGCGGUAACACUCCCUUCCAGCAGUAACUUUUGAGAAACUUCAGGUGCAGCCAUUUGUCUUCCAUCUGUGAAAACUGUUGUUACUUCUGCUGGGACCACAUCUGACCAGCCUGUUACUGGCACUCCAAUUCAAAUCAAACUUGCCCAGCUGGACCCUGUCCUUUCACAACAGCUGGGAUUCCACAGGCAGUUAAAGUCAAGCAACCAGUAGUUCAGCAGCCUUUAGGAGGCAAUGAAAAACAGGUGACCAAACUCACAUUCCUCUGCAAUGACCAUUCAGAAAUCUGGACAGAAGAUGAUGCCAGGGAACACAGUAAUACCUACCAGCCAGUUUCCUCCAGCGUCCACUCUAAAGCAAAUUACUCUGCCUGGAAACAAAAUUCUGUCACUUCAAGCAUCUCCUACUCAGAAAAAUGAAAUAAAAGAGAAUGGAACAUGAUUCAGAGAUGAAGAUGACAUCAGUGAUGUGACUUCUAUGGCAGAGGUCAACCUUAAUGAAGAAAAUGCCUGCAUCUUAGCAACAAACUCUGAAUUGGUUGGCACACUCAUUUCAGUCAUGUAAAGAUGAAUCAUUUCUUUUUAUUGUAGCUCUACAAAAGAGAAUUUUACACAUUGGUAAAAAGCAUGACAUUACAGAACUUAACUCUAAUGCUGUGAACUUAUCUACCAUGCAACACAGGAACCUUCUAGAAAAACUGACUGCAAUUGCUCAGCAUAGAAUGGCUACUUAACAAGGCAAGUGAAAAUUAUAUCUUGUGUAGUGAUACCAGGUUACAGCUCAGUUUCUGAAAAGCUGGAUCAAUUGGAGAAGCAGAGAAAGGAUUUAGAACAAAGAGAAAUGUUGCAGCCAAGAGUCAUUCUAAUAAAGAAGACCCAGAACAGCUGAGAUUAAAGCAGAACGCCAGAUUACAGCAGUUGGAGCUUGCACAGAUACAGCAUAGAGAUGCUUAUCUCACAGCUCUUGCAGCUACUGGACCAAGGAAGAAGAGACCACUAGAAUCUGGAAGUGAGGGUUUAAAAGACAACCUUCUUGCUUCUGAGACAUCCAGCCUGAGAGCCACCAAACAGUUGCUUCAUCCAAGAAUCACGAGAAUCUGCCUCAGGGACUUGAUAUUUUGUAUGGCACAGGAACGGGAGAUGAAGUAUUCUCGAGCUGUAUACCUGGCCCUUCUGAAGUGACCACUCCACUCUCCAUCCAGAUCCUUGCUAUUUAUUGCCAAAGAAGACACAACGAGCAGUGUUGCACUGUCCUGAAAUUUCAAUUUCUGGAAAAUAAUCACCAAUACAAAAGCAUUGUUUACAGUUAGAAACUUAAUUUAAGUCUUACCUAACCGUUCCAUGGGGCUGUUACAGACUAGAAUUGUCUUUGUCUUUUGAAAAUCUGUUAUGAAACACACUGCACAGAAUUAGGCAUUUGCCUACCUGUGCAUAUAAUUACAGCAAGUUAAGGCCCUGUUUGUUACUACCUGCCUCGUUUGCCAAAUUGUAACAUGUGAGGUGUCCUUUCCUAAUAUAGUGUGCAUUGAGAUGCCAGAGAAAGGAAGAGGCACUACAAGAAAAUACAAAAAUGACGAUUUCAUUGUGUAUUGAACCUGUUCCAAAGUGGUAGGUGCUCUGGGCUGGAAUGAGAAGUUGCUCAGCUAACUAUGACAGUCACUUUCUGUACAUGACAGGCCAGAGUAGGGUCUAUGGUAACUUUGUUUGACUGAGUUCCAGUGUUGUCAAAAAUGAGACAAAUGGGGAUAGAUCAUGCCUGGGGUUGCUAAUUCUCUGUUUCAUAUCACCAUGUGCUGUUUCUGAUACCAAGUGAGUGGACAUCCUUGUCAGGGAAACAAGAAUUUGUCCUAAAAAUGGAAUCUACCGAUAUAUCUUAUAAAAAUGAAAAAGGUGGAAAGUAUUGGAAGGAAUGAUGGGGCGCUGCAUCAAACUGAUGAAGGGAAUGUGAAAAUGGUAUCCUAAAACAGGGAAUGUGCUUCAUAAGCCCAAGAGGGGAAGGGGCAGAAUCAGAACUCCAAAACUACUGGUACAUGUUUUGUUGAUGAGAAAAAAAUCACAGUACAACCAGAAUGGAGAAUGUACCAGAUGUUUUCAAAUUAUAGUAUUUCAAAAGCAAGAUGUUAUUUUUUGUUUUGUAUUGUUUUAAAUCCCAAGAAGGAUGGUUUUUGUAGUUCCUACUGUCAUAAUAUAUUUUAGUUAUCCUAAGUUUUAAGCGCGUUGGCACAUUUAAAAAAUCCUAAUUGAUGAUGAAAAAAUUUUAACAAUAGGACUUUAUGUUGGAUUCUGUACUUAAAAGGUACUGUCAGUAUCUCACUCUUGGGGAUAUGAGCACUAAAUAUGAGAAGCAAGUUAUAUAUCUUCACCGGAGGAAGAAGCUGACAGGCAAAGCUAACCCACUUUAAAAAAAAAAAAAUUCCAUGUGUGGAAUACAGCUGGUGAAAACUAAUCACUGUAUUUAGAAUCAUAUACAGAAAAAGAUGAUUGAAUGCUACAAGAAGGUUUUUCAAAAAUGGGAAGUGCUAUACUUACAAGAAUUCAGGGGGAGAAAAAAAAACCACCCCACAUAUAUUAUUCUUCAUCCUGUUCUUUCCAUUGGGACUGUUACGGCCAUAUUCUAUGCUACAGUAAAUUUUAAAUUGGCCACAUUUUCUUUUCGUUUCAGCAAGUUAGUAUGUAAAACGCUAUAAAUUGUGUGUAUGUUAAAGGAGUACUUUAAAGAAGAGAUCUUUGAGGAGUCCCUAGAAACCCACCUUAUCAAACAGCUUCCGAGAUCACAGCCAGGUAAAUCCACAAAGAUGGGAAAAAAACAGUGCAAAAAAGAUGAAAACCAUCAAAGAACAGAGCACCUCUUCUCCUUCAAGAGAUUGCAACUCCUCAACAACACGGGAACACAACACGACUGAGAAAGAGUGCGAUGAACUGACAAACAGGCUUCAGAAGGUGGAUAAUAACAAACUUUUCUGAGCUAAAAGAACACGUUCUAUCAAUGCAAAGAAACCAAAAACCUUGAAAAAAGGUUAGACGGAAUGCUAACUAGAA